rnacentral:rRNA from 1 species
AUUGAACGCUGGCGGCAGGCUUAACACAUGCAAGUCGAGCGGAGAUGAGGUGCUUGCACCUUAUCUUAGCGGCGGACGGGUGAGUAAUGCUUAGGAAUCUGCCUAUUAGUGGGGGACAACAUUCCGAAAGGAAUGCUAAUACCGCAUACGUCCUACGAGAGAAAGCAGGGGACCUUCGGACCUUGCGCUAAUAGAUGAGCCUAAGUCGGAUUAGCUAGUUGGUGGGGUAAAGGCCUACCAAGGCGACGAUCUGUAGCGGGUCUGAGAGGAUGAUCCGCCACACUGGGACUGAGACACGGCCCAGACUCCUACGGGAGGCAGCAGUGGGGAAUAUUGGACAAUGGGGGGAACCCUGAUCCAGCCAUGCCGCGUGUGUGAAGAAGGCCUUAUGGUUGUAAAGCACUUUAAGCGAGGAGGAGGCUACUGAGACUAAUACUCUUGGAUAGUGGACGUUACUCGCAGAAUAAGCACUGGCUAACUCUGUGCCAGCCGCCGCCGUAAAAC